ACAUCACAACUUUCUCUCUCUUGAAAAUUGAUCACCAGCUCAUCUUUAAUCACUCAUAUCUCUCCCUCUCUUGAAUCCCCUCAUCUUUCAUCUCUCUCUAUCUUGAAAUUGUUCACCAGCUUCAUCUUUAAUGUAAUCAUCUUCAAGAAACCACAAAUCAGGUGGUUGGUCGGUGGCAGAAGUCGGGUGUGCGAGGUGGUUGGUCGGAAGACGGUGGUGUGGGAGGUGGUUGGUGGGAGUUGUGCAGAGGUGGAAGGCGGUGGUGGGGCGGUGGUUGGUGGGAGUCUUUGCGACAGCCGCGGUGGUGUCCGGCCACCAUCGCCUGAAAACGAACCGCCAUGGCCACCAUCCCUUCGAUGAGAGAGAAGGGGAAUCGAAGAAGGAGAUCGGAGAGAGAGAUAAAGACGGUGGAGGCCAAUUAGCACAAAGAGAGAGAGAUUCGAUGAGAGAAAAGGUGGUGGUGUUUGGACGAUGACGGUAAAGGUGGGGGUAGGUCGGAGCUCCGAUCCGGUCAGCGACGACAACAAGUUUCAGUCCGACUCAAGUAUGGUUUGAGUUUUUGUUCGGGUCAGCCGUGGGUCGAGUUUCGGGUCAGUGGGUGCGGGUUUGGUUCAACCCGGUUCGGAAGCUUCAGGUCGGUGGCUCAGUCAAACCGGGUCGGAUUCAGAGUUGUUCGGGUCAAGCUUCGGCUCUUCGGUAGCGAGUUAUUAUUACGUUAGUUUAGAUUUUAUUUAGUUAACGCACACCGAGCUCGAACCGAUACUUUAGUGACUUGUUCCAUUUAGCAUUUUGAUAGAAAUUUUAUAUAUUGUGUUUA